UGGACCAGCUGGAAAACCCCUGUGGACCAUGAGCUAAGAGUGCUUAGACCAGGACAGACCAGAAGGGGCCACCCAGGAGAACGAGGAACACACACACUCACACACACAUAUACACACACACAGACACACUCACAGAUACACAUACACACAGAGAGACACAGAGACACACUCAGACACACAUAUACAUACUCACAGAUACACAGAAACACAUACACACACAGACACACUCACAGAUACACAGACACACACAUGUACACUCACAGAUACACAUACACACAGAGACACACACAGACACACACAUACACACUCACAGACACACAAACAUACACACACACAGGUACACACAGAGACACACUACACACAGAGACACACACACACACACACACAUCUCUCAGGGAUAACAGGGUUCCAUCACUUGUCUUGGGGUAAAAUAACAACUACAUUUAACAGGAGUGACCUCCUCAGGAGAAAAAAAAAUCUUUUCUUUCUCUUUAAAAAAAAUUAAAAUUAAAAUCUGCCCAUUUGCUAAGAACAGAGGCUGGAGUUGUGCGGCACCAACCUGAAGGGAGAAAGAAAACGCCUUAACGUGUGUUCUGGGCAGAUGCGAUGCCAAUUAUUUUUGAGCCAAUGUCAGACUCCUGCCAAGCGGUA
rnacentral:lncRNA from 1 species